rnacentral:lncRNA from 1 species
GAUCUCUUUGAUCUCAGAGUAAGCAAUCAUACCGGUUUGGUUGCUCAUCUUUUGCCUAGGUCCUGUGGCCACAACUGGUGCACCUGGUUCAUUCUUCAUUUUGUUCCUGAGGAACCAAGAUCUUCCAUAUAAAGGGACACCCAUUACCAGCUUGCAUUCAGGGAUUCCUGCAGCCAGCCAUGAAGUAAUGCUGUAACUUGUAGAAAAGUGGGAGGACUUAUCAUAUAGUGGAGCAUCAAAAGCUGUGACAUCGCUGUUCUUGUGGUAACCAAAACAGAGAGCAUUGGCCCAAUCAAGGUUGUCUGAGAUGGCUUCUAUCGGGUAGUCGACAUUAUCAGCAGGCACAUCAAACAGGUGGUUUGAGAAGUAUACUGUGGCCGUCAGCAGGAGACGGGAAGAUGAAUUCUGUGCUUCCUCGUUUAUGUGGGCUCUCCAUUCUGCAAGCAGGAUCCCGAGGCUGGCCAUGUCAGAAGAUGAUGAAGGAAAUUGCCAAGCCAAGUCUAACCCAUCAAAUGCAUUGGUUCUGGCUAGUUCUAUGGUGGAAUUGAUGAAUGCUGCUCGAAGAGUUUGAUUUGCUGCCAUGGCAGAGAAGGCAGCAUUGGAGAUGUUGGUUUGGCAGUCAUCCGUGGCAAUGGACAAGAGCGUCUUAAGGGAUGAGUUUUUGGCUUUAACGGCGGUCGAGAAAGUGGCUAAAAGGGGAAGUUGGUCAUCUGGUGGGAGUGCAACAUGAAAAUUAGUAUCAUCAAGGGAAAGGGAGUAGUAGUAGAGGUGGGAGUAGAGGGAGGUGUUGAUGUUGGAAACUGGCGAGUAGCGGGCCAAGUGAGAGAACCAGUAGCCAGCUCUGACCGGAUGAGGAACUUUUUUAAGGCUUGCGCAUUCUUGCUGUGCUGUUGUAUGCUGGACGGUUGAAAGUAUUAGGAGGUGGAAGAUGAGGAGCAAGGAGACAGGUAGUUGGCCCAUUUUGGGGAAAUAUGGGGAUACCGAUGAGUGAGGAUGGUGGGCAUUCUGUGAGUUCGAAUGAUGAGGAAAUGCAGAGGA